UACGAGGGGGGCAAGCGUUGUUCGGAAUUACUGGGCGUAAAGCGUGCGCAGGCGGUUUUGUAAGCCAGAUGUGAAAUCCCCGGGCUUAACCUGGGAAUGGCAUUUGGGACUGCAAGGCUUGAGUGCGGCAGAGGAGACUGGAAUUCCUGGUGUAGCAGUGAAAUGCGUAGAUAUCGGGAAGAACACCCGUGGCGAAGGCGGCACUCUGGGACGGUACUGACGCUGAGACGCGAAAGCGUGGGGAGCGAACAGG
rnacentral:rRNA from 1 species